AACCAACUGAAAGGAGGUGAUCCAGUGUCGAGAAGGGUAUUGGAGAAAUGUGUCGGGACAGCUUGGGAGGCGCGCGGCUGAGGCAGCCCUCGGGCGCACACCCCCAGGUGGAUCACGGUCUAACCGACCCACCUCCUGAUCUUCGAAGGGUCGUUCCCAGUUCGCCGGGGACGACCC
rnacentral:sRNA from 1 species